UACGUAGGGUGCAAGCGUUGUCCGGAAUUAUUGGGCGUAAAGAGCUCGUAGGCGGUUCGUCGCGUCGGCUGUGAAAAACCUGAGGCUCAACCUCAGGCCUGCAGUCGAUACGGGCGGACUUGAGUACUGCAGGGGGAGACUGGAAUUCCUGGUGUAGCGGUGAAAAUGCGCAGAUAUCAGGAGGAACACCGGUGGCGAAGGCGGGGUCUCUGGGCAGUAACUGACGCUGAGGAGCGAAAGCGUGGGGGAGCGAACAGGA
rnacentral:rRNA from 1 species